rnacentral:sRNA from 1 species
AUACGAACUUCAGCUACACCAUCAAAGCUUUGAGAAGGAAGACAAGCUUGGUUAGUGUUUUGGAGUCGAAUAUGACUUGAUGCGAUGUGUAUGAUUGAGUAUGAGAACUUAAACCGCAACCGGAUCUUAAAAGCCUAAGUAGUGUUUCCUUGUUCGAAGAUACAAAGCCAAAGCCUCAUA